CGUGUCGUGAGAUGUUGGGUUAAGUCCCGCAACGAGCGCAACCCUCGCCAUUAGUUGCCAUCAUUUAGUUGGGAACUCUAAUGGGACUGCCGGUGCUAAGCCGGAGGAAGGUGGGGAUCACGUCAAGUCCUCAUGGCCCUUACAGGGUGGGCUACACACGUGCUACAAUGGCGACUACAGAGGGUUAAUCCUUAAAAGUCGUCUCAGUUCGGAUUGUCCUCUGCAACUCGAGGGCAUGAAGUUGGAAUCGCUAGUAAUCGCGGAUCAGCAUGCCGCGGUGAAUACGUUCCCGGGCCUUGUCNANACCGCCCGUCACACCAUGGGAGUCGGUUCUACCCGAAGGCGAUGCGCUAACCCGCAAGGGAGGCAGUCGACCACGGUAGGGUCAGCGACUGGGGUGAAGU
rnacentral:rRNA from 1 species